rnacentral:misc_RNA from 1 species
CGCACAUUGCGCCCCUUGGUAUUCCAUGGGGCAUGCCUGUUCGAGCGUCAUUUGAACCUUCAAGCAUUGCUUGGUGAUGGGUGUUUGUCGUGUAUCGACUCGCCUUAAAGAAAUUGGUAGCCGUCUAUUCAAAUAGAAGCGCAGCACAUUGCAUUUCUACUUCAACAGAUGUCAUCCACAAACCUCUCUCUUUGACCUCGGAUCAGGUAGGGAUACCCGCUGAACUUAA